AGACGUGCUUGCUUCCCCUUCGCCUUCUGCCAUAAUUGUCAGUUUCCUGAGGCCUCUCCAGCCACGCUUCCUGUACAGCCUACAGAACUGACUCCUAGAAGUACCCCACCCCCGACCCCCACCGCUGCUCCUAGGAGGACAACGUGAUCACUGUAUUCAGCUCCACCAAGAACGGUCCAGGUUCUUCUAGAUGAUCUUCACAAAUGGCUCCUCUCCUCCUUCCUGGUGUCUGCCAUUAGCAUUGGAAUAAAGUUCCUGCUGAAAAUCCA